UACAGAGACUGCGAGCGUUAUUCGGAUUCACUGGCGUAAAGGGUGCGCAGGCGGCCGUGUGUGUGAGGCGUGAAGCCUGGAGCUUAACUCCAGAAUUGCACCUCAAACUACAUGGCUAGAGCAUUGGAGAGGUAGCAGAAUUCACGGUGUAGCAGUGAAUGCGUAGAUAUCGUGAGGAAUACCAGAGCGAAGGCGUCUACCUGGACAAUGCUGACGCUCAGCACGAAGCGUGGGAGCAAAGG
rnacentral:rRNA from 1 species